rnacentral:sRNA from 1 species
CGAUUCUUGAUGGAGGGGUGGGUGAGCACCACCGACGUGGUUCGAGCCGUAGUGAGUUUGCGAACGAGACAACAUUGCGCGUUCUUUGCGCAAUAGCCCGAAGGGGAAUAAUCCACCCCCCACCACCA